ensembl:lncRNA
AAAAUAUUUCACAGAAGGAGGUCUAUAAUACCUUGAGAAAGCUAUAUAAUGAUUCGGAUUCAUCUCAAGGGUAAAUGCUGAGCUGUUGUAGGAUCCCCUGAAGUAUGUGAGGCUGCCAUCUUUGUUUCAUGGACAUUACGUUCCAGAAACACUUGUCAUGUGAAUGUCAAUAGCAACAGAAAAUCUACAACAAUAUAAAUGAAAUUCUUGUGAUUUAUAUGCUACUUUGUACAUUUUUAUUUCAAAUAUAUAGUUUCUUAUGAUGCCAUAUCUACAGAGAGGCGUUUUUUCUACCCAAAUGGUGUAGUUACAACAUCUACCAGCAGGGGUGAUGCUAACCAGUCAAUUCAUCACCCGUCUAGUUUCACCUUAAAUCCGCAGCGAGUAUAUAAUCUCCAGGAUCUGAAUCCCAUCAGCCAGUGUACGAUAAAUAUUCAUGAUCCACAUUGUGAAUUCACCAAACACACUGAUGAUGGAGCUGAAUAAACAAACAAACGAAGAAGUUACACAACCAAUCAGGGCCGUAUUGAAAAGGAAAACAAACAAUUAGAUAGAUUCAUCAAAAGAUAACGAGCCAAAACACCAGAGACAGAGGCAGUGUUUGGGGAAACAGUCGAGUGAACAAGAAUCAGGCAACGCGAUUAUGACAGAAACAGCAGAGUACCAAGAUGCACUUUUAUACCGUGAAACAUGGAUGGGGAUCAAGAGGAGAAGGGCAACGCAAUGCGGAUCCUGGCAGACCGUGUGAGCGGCCAGACAGUCAGCGGGACAGACAGAGGAGGAGGAGGAGACUGUGAUCAUUCAUAUGAGUGCUGGAGAGAUGAUUGGGAGGCUAAUUGCAAACACACACUGACCACACAAGUUAAAACCCAUCCUAAUAUCCUACUAUUUGUUAUAAUGCAUGUGCUUAAGAAGUAAAGAAUGGUGGUUUGCACUUAAAAACACAUUAAAAUAAGCUAAUAAGCAGAUUACAGGUAAUGGAUAAUGAAGUGCUACCUGGUUUUGUCCAAAAUACAUUCAGUAUUAGGGUAAAAUGUGAAGAUUGAAUGCCAUAGCAGUGCUAUUUCUCCAUAUUGAACCGUAAGUACUUGUGGGAAUUGAGUCUUUUUUUUUUCAAUGAAAAAACCAUCCUCUAUUCCAGUUUCAUCAGCUAUUGUGUGCUUAUCUAUACUUGAGCAACAUUUUUUUUUGUCGGAUUUAUAAAAUUUUUCUCCACUGAAAGCAAUUCAGAAGUAUCUGUGUAUUAAAUAAACAUUUUAUAUCAACACAAAUUGCAUAUUAUAUUAUAUUAUAUUAUAUUAUAUUAUAUUAUAUUAUAUUAUAUUAUAUUAUAUUAUAUUAUAUUAUAUUAUAUUAUAUUAUAUUAUAAUUCUUGUCCAGCAAUUUUAAAUAUGGCAACUUUUGUCUAUCUAUUCAUCAACAUGUAAAAUACAUUUUUUAUUCUCAUUAAUACUUUCUCAGCUGCUCAAUAUUAUCACAAUAAUUAAAAAAAAGCUGCAAAACAUCAUUAAAUUUUGAAGUGACACAAAAUAUCUACCUUUUGUUUUCAGAAAGAUCAAUUAUAUUAAAAUUUGGUGUUAAUUGUUUUAUUAAAACUAUAAUUAAAAUUAAAAUUUUUAAGUGUUUUUCCACAAUGACCAAUGAAAUGAAAAUUAAUUUAUUAAAUAUGACGGAAAAUAUAUAUA